UACGUAGGGUGCAAGCGUUGUCCGGAAUUACUGGGCGUAAAGAGCUCGUAGGCGGUUUGUCGCGUCUGCUGUGAAAACGCGAGGCUCAACCUCGCGCCUGCAGUGGGUACGGGCAGACUAGAGUGUGGUAGGGGAGAUUGGAAUUCCUGGUGUAGCGGUGGAAUGCGCAGAUAUCGGGAGGAACACCGGUGGCGAAGGCGGUUCUCUGGGCCUUACCUGACGCUGAGGAGCGAAAGCGUGGGGAGCGAACAGG
rnacentral:rRNA from 1 species